UAUUGCAGCUAGCCAACGAAUACUAACGUAAUGGGUAAAUUCUACAUAUGCUACCCAUUCGUCAACAGUAAGAACCAUCACAUAGAAAAAUGCAGUAAAAUGUACCCCCAAACCGUGAGUUUUUUGCUUCAAAUUGCACAUGCGUCAGGACGUGUUUUUGAGUGAGUGUGGGCGACGCUGGAUCCUCUCUCUGGCUGCCAUCGAACAGCAAAAGUGAAGGUAAGCUAUUUAGCAUUUAGGAGUGCUGUAUAUAUUUUUUAAUUAUGAGCAGACGUGGGUAGUUUACUCCGUUACAUUUACUUGAGUAAGAUUUUGGAAAAUAUGUACUUUUACUUCGUUACACUGUGCGGCGUUCUUUCGUUACUGUAUUUUAAUUCAUUACGAAAUGUGUAUUUUAUUUUAAAAUUGCCGUCUCGUGUUUCUGAGGCAUUCAUGAUUCGUAUGAGUCGAUUCUUUACAAAGUAUUGCAAAUAAAUUAGUCUUUUGAGUCGAUUCUUUACUAAGCAAACGGGCCAAAAGUUUUGAAUUGGUUCGCGAAUCAGUUUGAAUGAAUCGUUUUGAUUGCUGCAAAACUUCACACGUGUACCCGCCAUUAUAUACGUGCGACCUGUUCAGCAACCUCCAGAAAUACUGUUUAGGCUACACUUGAAGCACAUAUGAUUUAAAUCCAUCGAUGAUUGACGUCUGUUUGGCUGUAUACUGUACUGUAAAAUGUAAGUGCUUUGUUCUCACAACACACAUGUGACAGAGAUUCACAACAUGAGAAACAUGACUUUGGUUUAAAAUCAGUUAAACUGUCAAUGUCCUCAGAGUCAGACCAUCUUAGGAGAUUCUCUGAGUUUAGUUAAGCUUAAUAUGCAUAGUGAAUGCAAAACUCUGUCAGUUUACUUGUCUGAUCUUUCAGAUGUAUAUACAUCAACAUUGAGCUAUAGUUAAUUUUAUAGAAAUGCUUGUCUAUUCUGUGUUUGUCUAAAGUAUUAUUUAAUCUAUACUGUUUGUGUAUGUUGCAGUGAUGAUCUGUGUCCAUUUUGCGUAUUAAACACCCACCCGAAUAACUAAAGGGGUUCUGUUGCAGGCAGAGUCUGUGGACACAAUUUGCCCUAUCUUCAGUUCCUCUUGUCUGUCCUCCACAAGCAGAGACUCACUGAUAGACCACUGUUACCAGUUCUAGUGUUUACACAUCCACCCACGUCCCCACCACAAGUGUAUCCUGUACAGACACAGAACAUUGAGGGAAAAAAAGAGAUGCUGUUGUCUGCUGCCUCAUUAACUACCUCGGUGAAAGACAAGAAGAUCUUUUCCAUGACUGCCAGUAGGAAUGUGAGGACUACACAGACAGAACAAAGAAGGUGAUUGUGAAGCACAAUGUCAUGGCUGAGGAGGAUCCAUCAGAUUUGUCUAUUGUGAUCCAGAGAAAACUAAGUGAUGGAAGGAUGUGGAAGCUGAACAAAGGCAUGCAUACUGCUGAUGGGACUCAUUUAUGCAAUCAACAUCGAAUAUCCAAAGGAGCUGAAGAACACGUUUGAAGCUUUUCAAAAACUUUUUUUUGGAAAUUGAUGGAGAAAAACUACUGAAAAAGGUCCACAGCCUCAAAAAUAAGCUCAUGCAGUAGACACACAUUUUCCCUCUUGUUCGAAGAGGAUCUUUUGUCUGGACAUACUUUUAAUGGAGUUGUAAUGGAGUGUAGUUUUAUAUUUUUCUUAUUUUCCCUUAUUUGCUCCACACACAGACACAAAUCCAUCCAGCCCACUCCAUUACUCUGUGAUUUCCCCCAGAUUGACAGAAAAGGAAUACCAAUGCAAAGUUAUAAAACAGGGGUCAUUACUUGAAAUUGUGGUGUAAAGCUGUUGUGCUGCACUAUAUUUUGAGUGUUU